GACGAACGCUGGCGGCGUGCUUAACACAUGCAAGUCGAACGAUGAAGCCCAGCUUGCUGGGUGGAUUAGUGGCGAACGGGUGAGUAACACGUGGGCACCCUGCCCCAAACACUGGGAUAACUCCUCGAAAGAGGUGCUAAUACCGGAUACGAACUAGACAGACAUCUGUACUAGUUGGAAAGUUUUUCGGUUUGGGAUGGGCCCGCGGCCUAUCAGCUUGUUGGUGAGGUAACGGCUCACCAAGGCUACGACGGGUAACCGGCAUGAGAGGGCGACCGGUCACACUGGGACUGAGACACGGCCCAGACUCCUACGGGAGGCAGCAGUGGGGAAUAUUGCGCAAUGGGCGAAAGCCUGACGCAGCGACGCCGCGUGAGGGAUGAAGGUCUUCGGAUCGUAAACCUCUUUCAGUAGGGACGAAGCGUAAGUGACGGUACCUAAAGAAGAAGCACCGGCUAACUACGUGCCAGCAGCCGCCGUAA
rnacentral:rRNA from 1 species